rnacentral:rRNA from 1 species
CCUACGAGAGGCAGCAGUGAGGAAUAUUGGUCAAUGGGCGCGAGCCUGAACCAGCCAAGUAGCGUGAAGGAUGCCUGCCCUACGGGUUGUAAACUUCUUUUAUAAAGUAAUAAAGUGAGGCCCGUGUGCCUUUUUGUAUGUACUUGAUGCAUAAGGAUCGGCUAACUCAGUGCCAGCAGCCGCGGUAAUACGGAGGAUCCGAGCGUUAUCCGGAUUUAUGGGGUUUAAAGGGAGCGUAGAUGGGUUGUUAAGUCAGUUGUGAAAGUUUGCGGCUCAACCGUAAAAUUGCAAUUGAUACUGGAAGUCUUGAGUACAGUUGAGGUAGGCGGAAUUCGUGGUGUAGCGGUGUAAUGCUGAGAUAUCACGAAGAACUCCGAUUGCGAAGGCAGCUUACUAAACUGCCACUGACAUUGAUGCUCGAAAGUGUGGGUAUCAAACAGGAUUAGAUACCCUUGUAGUC